UGUAUCUGAAGCCUGAAGAGGAUGAGAACCUCCGGGGGCAAGAGGUUCGACCCGAGCGAAGCGAGAGAACGUUGCGUCAGCAACGGCCCGCAGGGCGAGCCACGCAGUGGCGAGUCAUCCUCUAUCACCGACCA
rnacentral:sRNA from 7 species